CCUACGGGAGGCAGCAGUGAGGAAUAUUGGUCAAUGGGCGGGAGCCUGAACCAGCCAAGCCGCGUGAGGGAAGAAGGUACAGCGUAUCGUAAACCUCUUUUGUCAGGGAACAAAGGCGGGGACUAGUCCCCGGAUGAGGGUACCUGAAGAAAAAGCAUCGGCUAACUCCGUGCCAGCAGCCGCGGUAAUACGGAGGAGGCGAGGGUGAUCCGGAUUUAUUGGGGUAAAAGGGUGCGCAGGCGGCCUGUUAAGUCAGCGGGAAAAGCCGGGGGCUCAACCCCGGCGAGCCGUUGAAACUGGCGGGCUGGAGUUGGAGAGAGGUACGCGGAAUGCGCGGUGUAGCGGUGAAAUGCUUAGAUAUCGCGCAGAACCCCGAUUGCGAAGGCAGCGUACCGGCUCCACACUGACGCUGAGGCACGAAAGCGUGGGUAUCGAACAGGAUUAGAUACCCGGGUAGUC
rnacentral:rRNA from 1 species